rnacentral:lncRNA from 1 species
UGUUGCCACAGGGCAAAGGCGUAGUUGCGUAGGAUCGCGUGGACUGGCGCCAGCCGAAGCGUUCUUUCCAUUAUGGCCCAUCUGCAGUGGAAAGCUUGUAUAUCCGUGCAGCUGAGAUAUCAGGCAUACUGUUUGAUGAGUACAGGUAAGGAAUGGCAGUAAAGAUAACAGGUCCCUAUUUUUCAUCUUUAGUCCAAGAAGAAAGCAG